AUUGUGAUUCAGUCUUCUAGCAAAGAUCAAGUGUAGUAUCUGUUCUUAUCAGUUUAACAUCUGACACAUCCUCUAUCAGAGAACAUAUAGUAACUGGAAUUUUGGAGCUAGGAGAUGGAAUAGAAGCUUGUUCCGUCCACUCCUGGUGAACAACCACCUGGUACUGCAGUACCUCCAGGAAAGGGGGACCCCUU
ensembl:snRNA U2 U2 spliceosomal RNA